UUUCAGAGGUGUCUCCAUGGUAGCCAUUGUAAUAGACCUAAACACAGGCACACAUUUUAAGCUCUGCACUUAGAGAUGGCACACAAUGACAAGAAGAAGUAAGACCCGUACGCCAGCACGGCAACGUUCUCUUCCUAAGGUGGAACCUAGAGAUGAUGAGAAGAUCUAUUUAUUUAGACUUUUCUGAGCUGAUGUCACACCCGGACACUGUCAUGUAAUGAAGAGCACUACACCAAACGGCUUCACAGAGAUCUCUGGCUUCUAAGUCAGGAAACCGAGGCACAUACACACACAAGGUGUUUGAGUUCUUGGCGCACAGUACAGAGUACAGAGGUAUACCCCAACCAGUUGGAUAGACUGGUGGCUUCUUAAUCCCCCCACAGUAAGUCAUGCUUGCUAACUGAUUCCCACUUAUAUUCCCUUACAGAAAAACAAGCUUUUG